rnacentral:rRNA from 1 species
GACGAACGCUGGCGGCGUGCUUAACACAUGCAAGUCGAACGGAAAGGCCCUGCUUUUGUGGGGUGCUCGAGUGGCGAACGGGUGAGUAACACGUGAGUAACCUGCCCUUGACUUUGGGAUAACUUCAGGAAACUGGGGCUAAUACCGGAUAGGAGCUCCUGCUGCAUGGUGGUGGUUGGAAAGUUUCGGCGGUUGGGGAUGGACUCGCGGCUUAUCAGCUUGUUGGUGGGGUAGUGGCUUACCAAGGCUUUGACGGGUAGCCGGCCUGAGAGGGUGACCGGCCACAUUGGGACGGAGAUACGGCCCAGACUCCUACGGGAGGCAGCAGUGGGGAAUAUUGCACAAUGGGCGGAAGCCUGAUGCAGCAACGCCGCGUGCGGGAUGACGGCCUUCGGGUUGUAAACCGCUUUCGCCUGUGACGAAGCGUGAGUGACGGUAAUGGGUAAAGAAGCACCGGCUAACUACGU